rnacentral:misc_RNA from 1 species
GAUGAAGAACGUAGCGAAAUGCGAUAAGUAAUGUGAAUUGCAGAAUUCAGUGAAUCAUCGAAUCUUUGAACGCACCUUGCGCUCCUUGGUAUUCCGAGGAGCAUGCCUGUUCGAGCGUCAUUAUAACCACUCAAGCUCUCGCUUGGUAUUGGGGUUCGCGGUUCCGCGGCCCCUAAAAUCAGUGGCGGUGCCUGUCGGCUCUACGCGUAGUAAUACUCCUCGCGAUUGAGUCCGGUAGGUCUACUUGCCAGCAACCCCCAAUUUUUACAGGUUGACCUCGGAUCAGGUAGGGAUACCCGCUGAACUUAAGCAUAUCAAUAAGCGGAGGA